UACGUAGGGGGCAAGCGUUGUCCGGAUUUAUUGGGCGUAAAGAGCGUGUAGGCGGCCUGGAAGGUCCGUUGUGAAAACUCGAGGCUCAACCUCGAGACGCCGAUGGAAACCACCUGGCUAGAGUCCGGAAGAGGAGAGUGGAAUUCCUGGUGUAGCGGUGAAAUGCGCAGAUAUCAGGAGGAACACCGAUGGCGAAGGCAGCGACUUGGCCCUAUAUUGACGCUCAGGCACGAAAGCAUGGGGAUCAAACAGG
rnacentral:rRNA from 1 species